UACCAAGCAACUCCUAUCCCCACCUCCACGUGGCACCGGCCAGACUUCCAGCAAUCUUAGGAAGGUGGGAGGG
rnacentral:ribozyme from 1 species